rnacentral:lncRNA from 1 species
CAACCCUGCAGGUGGCACAAACAUGUGUGGCACUGCCAAGGUUAAAGGACAAUUCAUUCCGAGUGUAUUUUGAAAUUGCUGUGUGCAUGUUCGAUCCAUUCUUUCAGAUAAUGUUGUGACCCUUGGUCCACCGAUGACCCUGUGACAGUGUGACCUCCCUAAAACCACUGAGGGAGUCGGCUUGGGCAUGAAGCAAGUGGAGGAGAAAAGGUCACUCUACUUAAUAUGCUGUUUUACAUCUCGGCUCCUCACACUUUGUCCUGAGACGAACAAGGAGGCUGCCUCAUCAGCCACUGGGUGCCUUAACAGCAUGCAGCUUACCUGCCUUCACCUCCUUACUCUAACACAGUGAACCAGCUUCAAACUUGAUUUUAUAUCUUUUAGAAACCUGUACCCAACUUCCACAAGUUUGUGAAGAUCCAUUAAAUGGAAGCACGUCAAAUCACUCCAAAAUGCACAAAGCACUGAUUUCAUAGCUGACUUCAAGAGAGCCUUGGGCUAACAGUGGAGGUGCGAUUUCCCCAACCAGACUGCAUCUCCUUCACCUUCUCCAGCAGCAGCCACUCCCCUCCUGCUCCUGCUCACCUGGGUUCCAGUUCCCACCUUGUCACAGGUGUGUGUGCCCCCGAGCCUUCGGCUUGCUCCUGGCACUAAUUUCUGAGUUGUCCCCCUUUUCUCUGGUUUGCUUGCUCUGGAUCUCUGAUCAACCGUCUCCCACUUUGUGGAAUUCCCUGAGUCACAGUUCUCCCCUUCAAAUACUCCAAUCUUAUUUUCCUAGCUGCAUCCUGAUUGGUGCCAGUCCGGCACAGCAUCCUGCUCACACUGAAGUCUUGGGUAGCACAGCCCGGAGGCGAUGCCCAGUGCUCCUGCUGACCCGAGGACCUCUGGGGCCAGACCCCAAGGCUUCGACCCCCUUCCCAGCUCUCCUUCUCCGGUUCAGAUUCUACUUGAGCCCACUCUGCCCAGGAGAGACCAAGUAGUUUUCUCUGCCUGCUGACACUGACACCAGAAGACAUUCAAACAGCUCACUGGAUUGCUAGCCCAGCCCAUUGGUGGCAAACCUAUGGGACAUGUGCCCAGCCUCUGCCAUCAAUUAAGUAGAUGCCAUAGCUCUGACUUGUUUCCUGUAAAGGGGUGCCGGCUUUGUUUACUUCAUUUAGCAGGCUCUCUCUGCGCACUCGGUCCACUGCCUCCCACAUCGGUCCGUGGCAUUUGUUUAUUCUACCCAAUCACACGCAGAGCUCUGUGGUCAGGGGCACUUUUCCUUUUAUAUCUGCUCACAGCAGGUUCACAGUACAGGCUUGUGAGCUAAAUACAGUCUACAUUUCACCAGCAUCUGUGCUGAUUUCCGGUUCCUUGUCAGAGGGACAUGCUGUGUGCCCUCCUGCAGCUGCAUGGUGUGCACUGGAUCAUCCACUCAGGAUGUGCUCUGAGCAGGUCCUGUAUUCUAGACCGGAGAUACUGGGGGCCACUAGGGGCAGCACAAAGACUCCAAGGCCCAUUGCCACUUAUUUUAAAAGCAAGGGUUCCCCCUAAGCUGCCUCUCCCUGGGGACUGCCACUGUCCUUCUAGUGGUUUCCUGGACUGACAAUGCUCUGUGUCACAGAACCUGCUCAUCUUCUUCAUAGCAUUGCAUAUGAACUAUGUAUGGAAUAAGCAUAAAGGACAGGGAGAAAUUUAAAUUUAUACAAAUGUGUAGUGAAUACAAAGGGCACGUGUAUAAGUAUCAUACAGAACAGGCACCCUCUUGUAUGAGUGUGUGUGGGGGGGUGUUGUUAUGCUUUCAUUUUGUCUUUCCCUCUACAGAUUUUCUUUACUUCAGCUUCUUUCACUACUGAACACCAAGCCUAACACAGAGGCUGGCUGGCACACAGUAGGUGCUCAAAUGCUUGGUGAAUAAAUAAUAGAGAGUGGCUGGAUCAAGGAGAGCAAAGAACGCUUCCCAAUCAUUAAUUUAUCAGACCUUAAGUUUUCCUGAAUAAAAAAUGUAGAAAGGAGAGAACAAGGAAUUAUGUCAGCUUCUUUGGUCUAAAACAUUUGGAGAAUAGCUGGUCACAACCUAUUGUUUAGUAACCCAGCCUUACUCAGAAAUGCCAGUGGUUGAACUCAUGAUUUUUCAAACUUACUCAUUCAAAGGCUAUUCAUAUUCCCCAUAUUAUUUUAAUUCCUUUCCCUUAUCAGAGAGGCAGUACUGAGUUUCCUAUAUGAUUUAACUAUAUAGCAUACUAACACGCAUAGCCCAUGGAGAAAGAGCCCUCCCCCCUUGCCUGUGCUUGCCCCUUACUUUUUUAUUCUUCGUGAGCAUGCACAUUAUUUCAUUUAACAACCAGUUAAGAUGCCUUUAUGUGUCAGGCACUGCACUAGAGACCUGAUAUAAAAACAAAAACAAAAAUACAAAUCAAAAAGCAGUGAGCAAGACAGCAUCUGCUUUCAUGAAGCCUAGAGUGUAACGAGGGUUCACAGCAAUAAAUGGAACAUAUAUUAUGAUGCCAGAAAGAAAUAGAAAGCUUGAGACAAAAUAGUGGGCAAGCAGUGGCGAGGAGGCUCAGGGCUGCUAGGCCAGGGCAGAAGGCCUUCCUGAGGAGCUGACAUUUCAGCAGCGUCUAAGAAUAGAGGCAGCACUCACACUGCAGGAGAGGAGCCCCGUGGUGUGUGGUGUGGGCAGGCACACAUGCUGGGCUGUCUGCCAGUGGACACUUGUGAGCCCAGGAAGGAUGGUGGGAGCAGGGCUUGGGGGACAGCGCAGGUCAAAUCGUGCGUGGUUUUCUGAGCAGAGCACCACUAAAAGGUGGGGUAUGUGCCUGGAACCCAGCCACAUUGGAGGCUUAGCAGGAGGGUGGAGAGUUCAAAACCAGGCUGGGCAAUCUAGCAAGACCCAGCCUCAAAAUGAAAUGAAAAAAAAGAACUUGUACAAGAAGCUACAAUGAUCUGAUACAAGUUUCAAAAGACCACCCUGGCUGCUGGAUGGAGCACUAAUGGGAAGAGGACCUGAGUAAAAUGAGACAACCUGGCAGACUGUCAGAGUGGUAACUCCAGGGCAGGGAUGUGUCGUUUCCACCUGGAGAGCUGGACAGGAGGAUGUGCAGGCCGGAUUGGGAGGGAAGAAAGGGCUGCGUGUGACCCUGCAGUUUCUGUCUCGGGUGCUGGAUGAUAGUUCGCUUACUAGGGGCCCCCCAGCAGCUCUGUCUCGAUGAGGUUCAUGGCAUGGUCCUGUGACACCUGGUCAGAGAUGUGAAAAAGACCCCUGAUUACAGCAAUGUGACGCUGUGACAGAAAUGAGCCCGAGCCAGCCUCUGCUAGGUCUCACCUUUGGUCUGGGGAGAAAACUCAAGUUUUUUACACACACAUUUAUUUUUAAAUAGGCUGCACAGGCAGAUUUUCACACAUUGAAGAUUCGCUUGUUCUGCACACCCUGCAAAACCUCACCUCACAUCCGCAGCAGUAGAAAAUCCUAAUUGAUUUUCAUUAUUAAAAAAUUCUCCAAUGGCAACUGAAUUAUCAAGGUCAUCAAUGAAAGUACACAUUGAACAUAACAUAGAUUUAUUGGUACUUUCCUCCAGAGAAUUCUGUUCAUCUUGGAAGACAUUGCAAUCUCCAGUGGUUGGAGCUAGGUCUUCAUCAAAAAAGUAUGAUUCUCCUGUGCUUUUGCUCUACCUGCAAAGCGUGUUCGAUUGGCUCAAACUAUAGUCAACUUUGAUCACCUGUGGUCCUCAUUUCCCUGUCAUACAUUUGUAAAAUGUUUAAAUAAACAAGUGUUUAAAAUAAGUACAUGUUUAUACUUCUACCAGUCUGAUUUCUUACCAAAUCAAUAUAUAACUAAUUGACGAGGUAGGACUAAGAAAGUAAAAAUCAUUGAACUUCUCAGUCACCAUAUCAUUUUUAUAGACUCAUAUCACUACAUAGUUUUUCUAACCCUUUUAGUAGAUGGGAAUUAAUGCAAAAUUUUUCUUCUGAGCAUUUUAAAAUGUGUAUUGACUCACAAACCUUAAAUAAUUGAAAUUAGUAUUUGAGGUAAACUAUCAACUCAAAUGCAGGCAUAUAGAAUAACUCCAAGAUCAUAUUUAACAAAGCAAGGUGUGCAAAAGUGUAUUUCCACUGACAGUAAGUAAAAAUAAUGUGGGCUUUUACAAGGAAAUUUGAAAUUUAUCAGAUAAAGCUUUUCAGGGAAGUAAAUUUUCACUAUUCACUUCAUCUUUAUUUUCAAACACAUUUGUCUUUAC